UACAGAGGGGGCAAGCGUUGUUCGGAAUUACUGGGCGUAAAGGGCGCGUAGGCGGCCGCCUAAGUCAGACGUGAAAUCCCUCGGCUCAACCGGGGAACUGCGUCUGAUACUGGGUGGCUUGAAUCCGGGAGAGGGAUGCGGAAUUCCAGGUGUAGCGGUAAAAUGCGUAGAUAUCUGGAGGAACACCGGUGGCGAAGGCGGCAUCCUGGACCGACACUGACGCUGACGGAGCGAAAGCCAGGGGAGCAAAGCGGGG
rnacentral:rRNA from 1 species